rnacentral:sRNA from 1 species
UGGGCGGGGCAGGGAAGGGGUGGGAACAGCUCGCAGCACAGCCGGGCGGCCGUCGGGCUCUGGGAGAGAGCGAGAGAGAAAUCCGGUUAAAAUCAGAGUCGGAGGGAGGUUUAACCAUAGAUCGGUUCCGAUCGGAUUAUUCCUUAAAGGGGACGCGCCAUUGUCAAGAGAACGGAGCCAGGGGCCCGAGGGCGGGGACCGGCGGCGCUGGAGGAGCGAGGCAGCUGUACUAGGACUGGGGACGGAGCUGAAGCCAUUUAUUGUUAUCUUGGAUGGUUAACAUCUAAAUGCUUAAUUCCUGAAACCACUCAAGAGUCAUAGGAUUAGAUGAUCCAAGUUACCACCAAGAAAUUACUGUCUCAAGUGAUACGCUUCAGUGACAGUCAGCAAAGUGAAUAAAUACUGUGCUUCUUCCAACUUUCAUUCCACUUGGGGAAAAAAAAA